rnacentral:rRNA from 1 species
CUACGGGCGGCUCCAGUGAGGAAUAUUGCACAAUGGGGGGAACCCUGAUGCAGCAACGCCGCGUGGAGGAUGACGCAUUUCGGUGUGUAAACUCCUUUUAUAUGUCAAGAAAAUGACGGUAGCAUAUGAAUAAGCGCCGGCUAACUCCGUGCCAGCAGCCGCGGUAAUACGGGAGGGCGCAAGCGUUACUCGGAAUCACUGGGCGUAAAGGACGCGUAGGCGGGUUGAAAAGUCAGGUGUGAAAGCCUACAGCUUAACUGUAGAACUGCACUUGAAACUCUCAACCUAGAGUAUGGGAGGGGCAGAUGGAAUUAGUGGUGUAGGGGUAAAAUCUGUAGAUAUCACUAGGAAUACCUAAAGCGAAGGCGAUCUGCUGGAACAUUACUGACGCUAAGGCGUGAAAGCGUGGGGAGCAAACAGGAUUAGAUACCCCAGUAGUC